CCUUUCUGCAGACUGGUGCUGUCCAGGAGAUGAGGUCCAAGGGCGGCCGGGAGCGACAGUGGAGCAACUCCCGUGUGUUGUAGCGUAUUCCUGGCUUUUUCAGCCCAAACUUGAACUGCCUGAUCCCCCCGCUGGAGGAGAAGCCCACCUUGAGUGCUUUAACCCCGCGGUAUUUAUGCAGCACCAUCCUCACCCAGCUCCCGGUGGCUUUGGGUCAUCGUCCCUCUGGAAAAUCCCUCCUUCCCAGAGGCACUGGCCGGUGACGUGGGGAGGGAGUGGGGACAGCAGCCCCCAUCUCCUGCCCCGCCUGCAAAGGACACAGCCGCCCCCCUGAGACGUGCCAGGAGCUGCCAGGCGCAGCCCACGUGUGCCAAACCCUCCCAGUUUCCCUUUUCCCACUCCCGUGUCUCCCAUGGGCUGCAUGGUGGUGCCUCAGUUUCCCCAGGGAAUCAAUUAUGGUGCAGAGGCAGAUUUGGUGCCUCCCAGAACAUCACAGAGGAGCAAAACCAGGAUUAAGCCCUGAUAUUCUGGUGCCAAACCAGAAUUAAUCCCAAGAUGUUCUGGUGUCAGACCAGGAUUUGAUGUCAAACUGGGAUUAAACCCCAAUUCUUUGGAGCAGAACCGGGAUUAAACCCCGAUGUUUUGGUGCCAAACCCGGAUCA